GUCCCUUGGAUCCGCCCGCCGGGUGCGGAGGUGGGGCGGCUCGUUACCGGCCGUGUGGGGACAGCGGGACGGGAACGGCGGUUUGUGUGUUUGAACUCGGUGCUGGGUUCGCAGCUUUGCACUUGUUUGCAUGUGUGGAUGAACCUCUCUGUGUGAGCCGGCUCCACUGAGCACCGCGGUGAGACAUCAACUGCUACGUGUAGGCAAAAAGAGCUGAUGAGCUCGAGAUGUUUUAUCGAUUGCUCUGAUGAGAAUUCAAAUUACUCCUAGGGUACGGGAAAAGAUCACUACAUCGGCUCCUAACCCAGAAGAGCUGGGAGGACUCACUCCGCAAAUGCCCAGUGACUGUGGGCAUUUGGCUCUCCAGGGCUGAAUGGCUGCAGCUACAGCAGAACCAGAAGAACUCUGCAGUUUCAAGACAUCUUUAUUCCCUGUACAUGGUGGCAGCAACAUGGACACGGUUCCAGAUCAGGACUCAGGUGCAAGAACUCGGCCAUGGCUGUUUCUUUCUUGUGUGAAAAACUGGAGCCCUCCACAUUUGCCCUCCGGACAGCUACACCAAAAGGGAGUUGACAGAAUGUGCUUGUGCUGUUAAAGAAAAGGCAUUUGUUAGCACCGAUACUCUCUGCUUCAGUCACACAUGUACAUCCCGUCUGAUGCUGAAAGGUGGGAAGGAAACUACGUCUGACGUUUAGAAACUGCCUGCCGUCCACCUUGCUACAGCCAGCUCUGCUGAGAGCAGCAACUGGGCUGCUGGAAGGUUGGUUGCAAAAUUCAACUGCGUAUUUUUUCUUUAAAUAACUGCCUAUACAACUGACUUACACUACAGAACGCAGAUGUACACUGGUAAUAGUUAUUCCCCUUUAGGGAACAGGCUUGCAUACAUAAUGUACCCGUAAACUGACAUAAAGUUAGAACUUUCUCAGCUGGUCUCCAGUAGGAGGACAUAAUCAGUGCUGGAUGUUCUUUGUGUGCAAUUACAUACUAGAAGUAUUAUGCCAGAAACUGGAAUGAGAUUCCAGUCUUGGCUCAGAUGCCUGAGCAACAGGAAAAUGUCAAGUUAAAAGGAACAUCUACACAAUACAAUGACGGUGAAAACAAACAGUAGGGUAAAAUAAAAAUAUUUAAGUGCUUGAUAGUUUUAAUGAUGCUAAGAUAGAAUAUUCAAAGGACAGGCAUAAUCAAUUAAAAAGCUUCAGUUAAAGCAAUCAAGCACAAUCCUUUAAUCAACACCACUAUUGUUAUCUGGCAGCAAUACACGUGUUCAGUCCUGGGCAACCAGCACGUUUCCUGCUCAAUCCCAGCUAAAGUACAAUGAUCACUGGAGGGAAAACAACUGGAAUUUCUGUCCUUUUCUCCAGACUCAGACGGACCAGUCUUAUCCCAGGUGAGAUUAAGUUAAUACGUUCUUGCUAGCCCUCAGGCCCCACGAGAAUGAGGGGGCAGAGCAGCAGUGACUCACCUGGGGACAGACUCUACCCUCAGCCCAGUUAAAUAUUGCUCCUGAAUACCAACCAAAUAAUGUUUUUUGAUAGAGACACUGGGGAAUUAUCUAUUCUUCUGUUCUUCCCUAAGACACAGAACAAAAUUUUCUUUGUAUGGUACCUUAGUGUCGUAAUCAAAUAUGAACAUUACAGUGUAAGCUGAUCAGAACACAAUUACAACUGCAAGGAAAUGAGACCAAACAUGAGACAUUUACUAAAAUCCAAGGCAUAAACUUUCUUUUUUUUUGGUACUUUGAUCAGGAAUCAGCUACAUCCAUCUGUAUAUUAAAAAGGUGGGUUUGUGGGUUUUUUUUCCUGACAAAAGAAAGGUUCUGAGUCAAGGUGGCAGUAUGUUAUUAUGGUGAAGAACUACUGCUCUGCAGGAAAGAAUGUUUAAAUGAAAAUCAAGAAGUAACCAAAUACAAUGUUAACUUGUAUUGAAGGUCAAGGAAUAAAUAGCAGUAUACCUGAAAAAGCCAGUACCUCAAAGACAUUAAGAAUGCAGAGCACAGUACUACACCUCAGAUUCAUUGAAGAUAAACAUUUUAGGAUGCUUCAAAUGUCACAUCCUGUCUAAACACUUUAAUAUUAUAAUUUCCUGAGACAAAACAUAAAAGUAUGAAGACUGAGUAAACCAAUCACAGUUCACAAAUACAUACAAGCAACCAGUUCUUGAAUUUGCUUUAUUUUUCUCUGCAUAAGGAACCCUGCACAGGCAAUUCAAAUUAAAACAAAAUAAAUAUGUGAAUAUUCCUGUAAAACUGUCCUUGCUAAUGAACAAUUAUACACAAUGUACAACUCUUCAUGUUCACUGGGGAGGGGCUUACAAAUGUACUAUUCCCAACAAAAACGCACCAAAAUGUCUCCAUGCAAACUUAUCAAAAGUGACCAAAAAAGGAGAAAAAACUUACCAAUCAUACUUUUUGUUUUCUUUUUUUUUUUUCUUUUUUACAAUCACAAAAAAAUAAAAACAUCUAAUUUUUUGUUACAUUUAGAGUAACUAAAAUGUGGCCACUGUCUAUUAACAUCUGUUUUUAUGUUCCUAAAACAUCUAUGGUUACUGUAAAAUUAUGUCAACAAUGAACUGGAUUUAGGGCACUAUUUGUAGUAAAAGGAAGCGGAUUUUGUUCACAGAAUGUUAAUAAUCUGUGUCCGAGCCCUCUGCAUUGUCCACAUUCCGUGAGAGCAUGUAAUUGUCCAUAUCUAUAGACCUGCAAUUAUUGAUUGCAUAGCGCAAACGCUCUGCCAUGAUUAGUUGAUUGGAGUACGGUGGGAGCCUCAGUUGAAAGAAACAAGUCUGUGAGGUAGGCAAGCUGUCAUAAGGCUGUGGAAAUGAGCAAAAGAGUAAUAAUUAAUAAUUGUUAAAUGGUGAAUGAAAGAAAAAAAACCGCAACACAUCCAUAUUUCAUUGCUCCCUCCCUUCCUUGUCUCUAUUAUUCAGCAAUUUCCUUUUAGGAAGCAGACGAAUCUUCCUUGUUUGCAACACUUUUUUCAUCCUUAAUUAUGUGCAAAACUACUGCUGUAUCACCUGCUCUGUACAUAAUUCAACUCACUUAUGAAAGUCAACUAUUUGAAAAGUUGAUUGCACUACUAUUUAGCAGCACACUGGAAGAUACCAAGCAACAUUCAAAUUACAUACCAUAGUGUGCCUCAACAUGAAGUAAUUUGAGAGACACCUAACCAACGGUGACAGUCAAAUCAGUGCUACUUUAGAUUUUGCCAAGUUUUUCAUUCAUGUAUUUCACAGAACUCUUGUGCUUUCACUGCACAAAACCCAAAAGCAAUGCCAAAUGAAUGCAUCCUGUAAGUAAGUAAUAUACUGUAAACUCAUUACAGUGGUUUUAAGGGACUACAGUCCAUUAGUGGUCACAUGUUGCUGCUUACAGAGAUGUAAAACUUUACAAGAGUGAUAAUUAUCAAAUGAAAAAGAUGGAACAGAAAAUGACUAUACACAAGUUACAAUACAAGAAGGUUUGUUUCUUGCACAAGAAGUUGUCUUCACCUCCGAUCAUAUAACUAUACUGAAUGCACCAAAUGAGUUAAGAUGCACUCCAAGUACUUCUACACGAUUAAAAUGUUUGGUUUUAAUGGCAUAACCCAUCCCAUACUUUCUCUGUAAAUUUACAAUUACAGAAAUCUCUUUCCUAUUGUCAAAGAACGGAUUAUACUAGACAGGAAUUUAAAAAAAAAACCCACCAAAACAAAUGAAACCAGCAUCUUACCCUAUCAACCUUCAUUAUUUGGAAUCGCUGAGAGAUAUCAGCUGUGUUGGCUGGCAAUCGAGAUCUUCCUGACACAAACCUCAUGAAAAGGACUCUCUCCUCAUUUGAAAAUUCUUCAAGGGUAUGCCAGAACCACUGUACCAGCUGAUGCUGCUCAUCAACUUCUCUGUAUCGCACAACUUUCUUCAGCACUUCAACAGAUAUUUCUGGCAUUCCACAGACCAUCUGCUCCAACUGCUUGGCAGUCAGCAGAGACAGCAAAGGAACAGGAACAAUCCAAGACAUUCCUUCUCUUACAGCAGCCACCUAUUGCCCAAAAAGAAGACACGUUUGAAAUGCAGUCCUCUUACCUCUGCCACUUAUUGUACCAUCCAAAUGCAAAAGUAACAUAUCAGCUGAUAAAUGGCAUCAAGAGAGAGAAUUACAGAACAUCUGUCAAAUACAACUUACCACACAUGCAUCCCCUGUAAGGGCUGAAUCCUCUCUCAAAAUCCUCGAUAGUAUUAAACGUAUUUUAAAUUGUAAUUGCACAUUAAAAACCAUAUUUUAUUAUAAAACAGAAGAACUUUAAAAAGUACAAGUUGGCAGCACAAAUUAUGAUGGUGAAACCAAAAAAAACGGUGUAUAUACACCAUAUAUCUGAGCUGGAACAAAGUCAUAUUUGUAACAAAUCAGCACUUGUUCUAGAAGACACAGGAGUUAGUACCUCUGAUGGGAAAGGUACUUUUCUAAUGCAAAUAAUAUCAUGCAUGCAUCUAUAUCUUGAGAAAAAGCAGAAUUUUCCUAGCAUAUGUUGCUAUAAUGUCUAAUUGCAGUGCACAGCAUGCACAAUUACAGGUGCAUGUGGGGCCGACAGUUGCAGUGGGGCUACUCUAACAAAAGACAAGUUCCGAUUUCUAAUACUCUUUUGUCAACUGAGCAAUUACUAGGAAAAACAGGACUAAUUUAAAACAACACUCCAAAACAUUAUGUGGGGGGGAAAAGCCAUGGGGAUCCAGGCAAGAUGCAGAAAACCAAACUUUUUUUAUUCUCUAAUAAACUGCAAUGGAAACUUGCAGAAAUCAGAUUCACUGUUUGCAUUAACAAUGGGGACAGGGUCACAAUAAGAUCCUUACCUGACGGUCCAUUUCAUGGAGUCUGUACUCAAUUGCCCUCUCCACAUAUUCUUUCCUGUUUGAAAAGGUAAGUGGGAUACUGUUCCCUCCAGGGAUUAUGGGAACCAUUUUACCAUCAGCACUUUGGCCAACAAAAGAAUCUAAAGGAAUCAUCUGUUAUGCAAAACAGGAAAAGUAUGUUCAGUGUCAGUCACUCUAGUGAUCCAAGUUUAAUAUUUUACUAUCAGUCCCCUAGAGCUAUAAGAAGAUGACAAACUCUUCCAAAUACAUAUAAAGUGCUUGUUAUCCCAAUAAUGCAGACAUUGAAUUACGUAAAUGCUGAAGUUAAAAAAGCGACGGCUGUCAGAAUAAACCUAAAAGCUCCACCUUUCAUAUCUUACCUCAUGGAAAUUUUCUUCAGUAAUCCCACUGUCUUCAAUGUGAAGAAUGCUGUUGAGGGUCUGCACAUAGAGCAGAUCUACCUCCUCCAAAUCCUCCAAGAUGAGUGGGAUACAACAAAGUUGCUUCCAGACCAUUGGAGCCAAAUGAAGAUCUAAUGGCUUUUUUGUACGAAUAGCUACACCCAUGAGAAUGCCCAAGAACUUAAACUGCAUCAGAUGUUCAUCUAAACAUGCUGAAGGGUUAAAGAGAAACCUGCGAGAACAAAGAAACAGUGUAAAUACUCUAGUAAAAUUUCUAUGCUAGUUUAUUAGAAGUAAAAGACAAUAUUUCCAAGCACAGCAUAGUAACUGCCAACACACUUAUCAGCAAGGGGCAUCCAAAUAAGAAGAUUAUUGUUGUUAUAUUUAGCUGUUAAAAUAAUGGAGGCUGAGAUAGGCAGAACUAACUCUGCCCACAGAGGCUGGCAUCCUCCAUGUUACUCUCACUUCUGCCAUCAGCCAUCCAGAAGUUCAUUUUAUUAUAAAACCGUACCCUCUCCACAAUAAAGUAACAUCACAACCUGAAGGAAAAAAAUAUACUAGAGACAAUCAUGAAGUCUCAUCAUUUGGAAUAAAACGGUAAAUAAAAGAUUUUAGUUUUCACCUGCUAACACCUGCAAUAAAAGCGAAUCCCAGACAACUUACCUAUCUCUAUUGUAGCCUACUUCAGCUGUAGCAUUUGGGGAAGGAAUAAGCAGGUCUACUAUUCCAGUUUCCAGUUCCUUAAAAAAAAUCAACAACAGAACAGUCAGCUUAGACACAGGGAUAACAAACCUAUUACAGAAAUAUUAUGACAUCACAGCAUUACAAGACAGAAUAUUCCCUUAGAGUGAUGAUUACUUCUUAUAAACUAAUGUGAAACAUUUAAGAGAAACUAAACAUGGUAGGGAUGAUUUUUAGUAAUAAAAUCAUGUUUAUUUUGAGACCUGCCCUUACGUCAGACUGUAAUGGUUAUUUUACUGUUGCUGAUCUGGGAUAAAUUCUUGGUACCUGUUUCAGAAAUAAGCAUAAGCCAUAACACCUUACUGGUGUGGCUUUUUCAAGAACCAAAAAUGAAGCAAAUUUUUCAAUGCGUUUUGUUCUGAACCCUCAGCACACCUCAUUCUUAAUGUCAGCUGCCUAGGAAAGAGCCUCAAAAUUACAUCUCAAGUCCUUACCUGAAUCAACCCUACUCUGGUCUUACGUGGUUCAGAAAUUCCAUGAAUAAAUUGAGUUCUUCAGUUUCUUCCAUUCUGUAUCCUACCUCUAUCACCAAUGCCAGCUCCAGCACUAUCCAUAACUAUUGCCCUGUCCUAGACCAAGGAGAUACACUAAUUAGCUUCACUAAUCUACAUAUUUUGGGUUUUGAGGCUCCUGGAAGACUUGAGGAACAACCAAACUUCUCCAGCCAGCAUUGUCUUGAAUCUUCCUCCUGGCUACAAUCACAGCUGUGUCGCAGGGCUGAGACACACCUUUAAAACUACAAGCAGCACACAUUAGCAUUGACCAGCUUUAUCUUAGGCCUGGUAGUCUGAAUUGUUCAGUUUCCAGGAGAAUCUGGAAAGACAGCUGUGUUGAUAACAGCAAAAGUAUCCUGGUUACAGACAGUCAUUAAAGUGCCCUUUCCACUACUGAUCUCCUUUCCAGCACCGAACCUGAGAGGUGACGCAUAUGAGAAACACCUACUUGAGGUGUUUCUGUAUUGUACACAUGGAAUGUACUGUCACAAUGUGUAGAGGCCAUCUCUGAAUUCCAGGAGCCUGCUGUAACACUAAUUAUCUUGUGGCCUUAUGGUAACUCCUUGCAAUCCAGGGACAUUGUUUUACCCUCACCGAUGUCCCUAAGUUGGCACCUCUACUGUUGUGCCUUAGGAAUGAAGAAAAAUCAUUUGUUAAGCUGCAAAAAGGAAAUGUGAAAAACACCUAAAGACUCCAGAGAGAAGAAGAACUCUACUGAUGCAUUUUGAACUAGUUUUUGACUUUUCAUACCUGACACAUUUCUGUAAUGGUGUCAUCGAAUACUCCACCUGCAUCAUCAGCUCCUUCUCCAACCAGUUUCACUUUCCAGGCACGGGAAGGUAGGCGAAGGUCUGAUGCAUUGAGUUUUACCACUUGUCUUGCUAUCUGUACAAAAAUGGGCUUGCAUUUCCGACCUCUUUCAAAAAACAAACAAAAAAAAGAUACAGCCAUACAAUGUAACUCAUAAACACAUAAUAACAAAUUUGGACAGAGCUAGCUCAGUAUGCCAAAAGUUAUGGAAAAUGUAUCAAUGUCAGUAUUUGAGGUCUAAUACAAUGCCUGUGAAAGUACUACUGACCUGGUAGAUAUCCUCUUCACAGUAAUCUGCGGCCCGUAGUUCUUCCCCUGUACCAUCGUUUUUCCUAUGGAGCGGACCAUGGGGAGCGUGUAUACUCGUGGUGCUAGCAAGGGCCUCAGCUGUCCUUGAACGAUUCCCCAUGUCCCAGCAUUGUAAUGAGAUGUACUGUUCUGCAAUAAGGUGGUAUGAGAAGAAACUUCUUAAUAAAGGAUAUUAAUUCCAUUCUUUACAGAAUAAAAACCUUCUUAAUAACCACUAGCACUUUCUGGAAACAGACCAGUUAGUACUUUCUGCUUUUACCUUUGAGGCUAGUGAGCUUUUAGAAGCUGAAACACUGACACAUCAAUGUUAGCAUAAACAAAAAUAUGUAACAAUGUCUCAACAAAGUUUGGUUUAAUCUGGAUUUACUUUUUUUAAUCUAUUACAAAAAAAUGACAGAAGCUAAGAUCCAUCUUGAUCUGGUCAGAAACUCUCCAGUGACGUGGCAUAACACACAACACAGAUAAGCUGCUUUUUUUAACAAAUGGAAUUUUACCUGAUUAUUGGGACUGAGGUUUAGUAAUCUCCACGAAGAGUACAUGAGGUCAGAAAAAUGGUACAGCAGUCUGAGCCUUGCUCGUACUGUGUGAAUGCUCACUUCUUUCAGUGCCCCGUACUGUGGUGGAAUGGCAUCAGGUAAACCAAGCUGUAAAGGCACGGAAACACCUACCACAGAAAAAGGGAAAAACAACAUUAUUUCAUAAGGGGUAGCUGUGAUAGAGUUGAUUUUCUUCGUAGUAGCUUACAUGGUGUUUAGGUGCCUCCUGGAGUUAAACCAAGACAAUAGCAAAAUUAAGAGGCUAAGAUCAUUUGAAAACUUGCACAGAUAUAAACCAGAACGAAUUUAGUCCCAAAUGUUCAGAAGUUCUUGUUCCACUCAUUGCCCAGGAAACACAAAGACUAAACCAAAUGACCAGACAAACGAUCUGAGUUGUUUACCUGGAGCUCUUGGUGGAACCGCUGGAGCGGUCCAGGCAGCGCUGUGGCAACGUCCCGCUGAAAUCUGUCGGAUGUUCUUUCCUUGCAGGACUGUUACGAGGGUUGGUUCUCUGACGUGGUUGGUAUGGCCCAGUCCAAGCUGACAAUUUAUAACAGAUGUAAAAGGGACAAAGAAGAAUCAACCGCGAUGAUACUUCUAAAAGUCUCUAAGUAACACUUCAGAACAAAUGGUACAAAAAGGGAUAAAAAAUACCAUAUACAUCUUUUAUUAUGCUAGCAUUUACCUUUUAUUUUUGAUAAAACAUUGCAUUCAUACUCGAUGGGAGUAGCAGAUUUAGGUGUCAAAGAGACCUUAAAACAGUCAGAGAUUUUUGGAAGCUUUUCUGCACACCGAGGGACUAAUCCAUGCUGCUGAAUCAUCUAUGGUGCACAGUCUUCCUCAUGAACCAUCAAGAGAGCUCAUAUGUCUCUUCUGUGCCAUUUAAACACCAUUUUUGCUCUAGCACACAAAUUGUUACAAUAGCUGAUGAAAAUACAAUUUGUUUAAUGUUCACUGAAGCUGUUCUGACUUUUUACUGAUAGUUUCAUAUCAUGUUCUAAUUUCAUAUUCUACAAGUGAAAAGUUCAUUUAAAAUAGAAUUUUUUUUACCACUCCAUAUAAAACCUUUUUUUUGCACUGCAACAAAAAUAAUUUAAAACAGGCUGUCAGAAGGAAGUUUCUCUGAUUUUUUUUACCCUAUUUUUCUCUUCCAGAAACACAAAAAGCCCUAUAAAAAGAAACAAACAAAACCAAACAAGUUCCUCUCAGAAAUUAUUCUAAACAACUUUCUCAACAACCCUUCUCAAAAACUGAAUCCUGAAGUAACCAGAGGAUGAACUUUGCCCAAUAUUCCUGAAACACUAACAGCCAGUAUAUAUCAAGAGGCUUUUUCUUGUGCUUGUAGCAUACAAAACCGUCAAGAAGCUGAAGUGCUUUCAAAAAUUUCAGUUAUACAUGGGGCAAGGGAGGAAAAUGGACUUUUUAAUGGCAAGGAUAAAAUUAGGGUCCCAAAGCAAAGAGAAAAUUUACUAUUCUUUUUUCUGACUGUAAAAAAUUACUCUCUAAAAAUGUUACUCUCUAUCUUCUUUACGAAAAGCAUCUAAAUCUGAUUGACAUCAACCAUAAAUGUUACGAUAUUGAAAAAAUUUAUGCCAGCUCAAGAAUUAGGUAAUUCGUAAUUUUCUAAAUAAACCCUUUGAUUAGAAUAAUUGGCGUAGAAUGUUUUCAGCGCUUUCCCAAACUACUACCAUGUAGGGCAUAGGAAAUAAAAUAACAGAAAUGCCUGAAAUGUUCUUAUGGCUGAGGAGGUGGGGAAGGAGGAGAACCAAAAUGAAAGCUUUCUUUUCCCCCAAAAUAAAGUCAUUCCAAAUGUGUUUGCAAAGCACAAUUCCGGCCUUACAGAGGUCAGAAAUAAAGAGGGCCCAGGACAUACCUGCCCCUCGGAGUUGCUCCCCCAGGCGUACACGUCCCCUGCGGAUGACAGAGCCAGCGUGUGCUCCGCUCCCACCGCGAUGUCCUCAAUGAAGAUUCCGGACAGCACGGGCACUUGUUGGGGUCUGUUGUGAUUGCGAGCGCGACCUUCUGGCAAACCUAUCAGGCGAUCUGGAAUGGCAAGCACACAUCUGUGUAUGUAAAGAACAGCAAAAUGUUAAUGGUACUUGCAGGCAGAAGUCAGGGAGGGACAAAACGCAAUUCUCCGUGGCCUUGGAACCGUGACACCAGUGCAGCCGCUCAGGGAGAAAUCUGGUGUACGUUUCCUACAAACCAGCACUUCCUACAGUGCUCAUUUAGAGCUUGUAUUUUCACUUAAACAAAAUCAAAUUCUCUUAAACCAAGACUUAUAGAUCCUAAUGUAUGAUUUUAUAAUGCGUGUGAAUUAACUGACUUGAGAAGUUUAAACAUGUUUAAUUUGCACAUUUGCACAUUCUCCUGCCCACAUUUUUAAGGCAUAGGCUUCAUUAGACCAAGUGAACUUUUAAGUAACCCAAGGUUUUUGGACAUGUGAAAUUCAAUGAAUGAAGUUUUAGGAAAACACUCUUCAAAAAGUAAAUUAGUAAACUGAAAGGCUAGCCUGAGAUCAAACUAGAUAGAGCUACAAAUCUGGAUUGUAGGCCUAUGUUAAAACUGCAUUGUUGAAGUUCCAAAAUUCAGAUUAGGUCAGAACAAAUGUAAGAUGUAGCAUUCUGUCAGUCUUAUGUCAUAUUGUUCUCCCUUUUCACUUGCAGUAUACAGAAACCUAUAGAUGGAAAGGUCCAAAUACCAGAUUGUCCUACCUUGUCCAAAAGUAUAUACGUGACCAUCUUUUGUCAGUGCAACAGAGAAUUGGGUUCCACAGGCAACUUUUUUUAUUCCAAUUCCACAAAGAAUAUCCACUUUCUAAAGGGUAAGUGAAAGGAAAAAUUGCUAUGGUAUUGUGAGGAUCUAAACAGAAAGCAAACGUGAAUUUCAUCUGUAACUCCUGCUUCCAAAAAGAAAUUUUACAAUGCUCACUGUGCAGUGCAUACAUUGCAGGAUUACUCUAAUUAAUGCUUGUAAAUUAACGCAGGAAACUGAGAUGCAAUUUUUUUCUUUAGUGGAAUUAACACUUUAUUCUACACACAAUGAUUCAAAAUACCUUUUUUUUUAGUAGGAAUAAGUGGGGAGUGGCUCCGGAGGAAGUCAAUGAGUGUGUAAAGAACCUUCCCCCCAAAUUCCAAAAUCAAAGUCACCUGACAAGGACCAAGGGAAUCUUCUAAAUUGAGAGAAAUAAACAGCCGCCUGUUUUCACUCAGUAUAUGAACCCAAACUGCCAAGACAAAGUGGUUCUGGAAUGUUCCUAGCACGGGGCUACCACAGCUGCAGUGUGGAGGAGACCGUAAAGAUUUUGGCACCUGCACCACUUCUUCUCCUUGCAGAGCCUCGAUCUGCCUGGGCCUGCGCUGCCUGUCGCUGUUCCCAUGGCCCAGUUUGCCGUAAUCUCCAUCCCCCCAGCUGAAGACUUCCCCGCUCUCUGUCAGAGCCAUGGAAUGUCCGUCAGAGCCACACGAGGUCACCAGCUGGGUCACCACGAAGCCUGUUAGAGAAAAAUCAGAAAACGUAGUUUAGACUAAAUUAUAAUAAAAACGAUCAUAAACUUAACAUGCAUUCAUCCAAGUGCCCUGGUGGCAGCCGAAUAAGUCUGCAGAAAGGAACCAACCACCAUAACAGUUCUCUUCUUAUAACAAUUUGUUUAUUCUUAUUUUGAACAAAACCAUCGUCUUUUCAUGUAUGACCUAUGCUUCUGGCUUGCCAUUAGUUUUGAAAUGAAACGCUCCCAUCUUGAGCAAACGCUUUUCCCUGAAGACUUCUUAAAAUUAAGGAAUUUUAACGUAUUACUACUUCAGUCUUAAGGAGAGAUAAGCAUCUAGUCUAUUUGUUCAAUUUUUAAGUUAUAGACGACAAUAUUUUGAUGUAUAAAUCUGCACAAAGAGCAUCAACACAAAUAAUUACAUUCACUAUGAAAAUGCUUAUUUGGGUUUCAUGACCGGACUCAUCUCACCCCCGGAGUCUCACCUUGCAGUGCUGAGAUGACUGUUAACACAUGAAGAUCAUCAGAGUUUCCUUGUCCCAGCCGCCCAUAGCUCCCUUCUCCACAAGCCAGAACCGUGCCAUUGGCUUGAAUGACAAAAGUACAAUUCUGACCACAAACAACCUGGUUUAGAAAGACACAAAGGAGUUUGAAAGACUUUCUGUUAGAUGCAGAAACACUGUAUCACCUGUAUUACAAUAUUCUCUUUUUUUUUUGCCUUUGUAAUUAUAUUGAGACAGCAGACUCUUCUGCCACACCGUUAAUACCUAUGUGACAACAUAAAUUACUUCGCUGACACUUGCUACUAGUUUUGCAACCCUUCUUCCAGUGAGAGAAAUCAAAAUAUACUCCUACCUGAGAUUUAGUUCUGAUGUUCCCAUACUCAAUAUCAACAUUAUUUCAUAAAACAAGACUGGCGCAUGUAUUAUGUCAAAGCUGUGCAGGAAUUUUCAAGUCGUGCUUAGAUCAAACAAUUUCGUUUUGUCAGAUACUAAUGGCUUCGUGAUUUGCCUUUGUCAAAUAGAGACUUUGUCUUUAGUGAAAACACA